rnacentral:rRNA from 1 species
UUCGCAAUGCCCGAAAGGGUGACGAAGCGACGCCGCGUGUGGGAAGAAGGCUCUAGGGUUGUAAACCACUGUCAGGAGUUAAGAAAUGUAGUGGUGUUAAUAGCGCCUUUAUUUGACGAAGGCUCCAGAGGAAGCCACGGCUAACUCUGUGCCAGCAGCCGCGGUAAUACAGAGGAGGCAAGCGUUGUUUAGAAUUAUUGGGCGUAAAGAGCACGUAGGCGGUCCUGCAAGUCUGUUGUGAAAUCCUUCCGCUUAACGGGAGAACGGCAGCUGAUACUACAGGACUAGAGUACGGGAGGGGAGAGUGGAACUUCUGGUGGAGCGGUGAAAUGCGUAGAUAUCAGAAGGAACGCCGGCGGCGAAAGCGACUCUCUGGCCCGAGACUGACGCUGAGUGUGCGAAAGCUAGGGGAGCAAACGGGAUUAGAUACCCCGGUAGUCCUAGCCGUAAACGAUGGGCACUAAGUAGAGGGGUUUU